GGGCCAAGACGUCCGACUGUACCCAGAGGUGCCUGAGGUCCUAAAACGAUUGCAGAGCCUUGGGGUGCCCGGUGCGGCUGCUUCAAGGACAAGUGAGAUAGAAGGGGCCAACCAGCUACUGGAGCUCUUUGACCUCUUCAGGUACUUUGUUCAUCGGGAAAUCUAUCCAGGCAGCAAGAUCACACACUUUGAGAGGUUGCAGCAGAAGACUGGAAUUCCUUUCUCCCAGAUGAUCUUCUUUGAUGAUGAGAGGCGGAAUAUUGUAGACGUCAGCAAACUGGGUACUGAGUGAUGAGGAACAGCCAUUUGGGGUCCCUAGGAGGGAUUAGGUGUUACCUGCAUUCACAUCCAGAAUGGAAUGAAUCUUCAAACUCUAAGUCAAGGGUUAGAGACAUUUGCGAAGGCCCAAACUGGGCCUUUGAGGUCCAGCCUUGAGGAGAGCCCAUUUGAGGCCUAAACUGAAAGGAAAUCAAGAAGGCAUUUUCAGGUGCAUUUGUAAUUUAUUAAAGUUCAUCUGUGUGUGACAG
rnacentral:misc_RNA from 1 species